GGGGAAGUGAGAAACAAAGCCUCUCUCUCCGUUUGUGUGAUGCUUUUGCCGGGGACAGAACAGGAAUGGAGUCUUAGAACUUAUUUUGGUGCAGGUUUGAGUGAAGACCAGCCCUCAGACUACGAUGAGUUACAAAGCAGACUAGAAAGAGUUACAAAGGGAUCUCACUAAACUGGAGUCACAGAACAGCGGAAGCAAGUGACCAUGGAUGUCUGAACUCCAGGGAUGAGUUCAGCCUGCCCCGGGCCCAGCCUUGGCUGUUGGCCCUCAGCUGCCGGUGCUCGUCUCCAUGCGCCAGCUCGCUCCAACUCAGGUGUGGCUUGUGCGACCGUGUCUGUGCCGAAGGUGCUGCGUUCAGGAAAAGUGAACCCAUGAAAGAAGCCUUCCCGGGCAAGCGUGGGGGGAACAUGGCCUUUGGAAUGGCCCGGGGGCUUCUCCAAUUCUGCACAUUGACACAGGAAAGCUUUCCCAGACAGGCAGACUCAAAAUACACUGGAGUUCAUGUAGUGAUGGCAGGAGGUGCCAGGCUGACAACCCAGCUACAACAUGGGCAGCAGUACCAGCUCCCCAUACAGUGGCCUGCCACUCUGCCCCAACCCUCACUGGGAGCCCUCCACUCUGGCUGCCGGGGGGUUCAGUUUUCAAGCCCAUUUGAUCCUUGGAUGAACUUGCCAAUAAGAGCCCACGACCAUGAUGAGCUUUGUCAUGUGGGUCCUGUCCACUGAGAACCACCAAGUGGCUGCACAAGGCCACCAGACCAGAGCAGCCACCAGACGAUAAGGUCUUGCAGACAACACAGGCCCAGGUCUAGACUGGCACUGGAGAGCUGGACGUGAAAAGCUUUAUACCCUACUGCUGGGACACUCUGACACAAGGGAGUGCAGCUGAGUAAUCACGUCUCCUGGCCUGAUUCCUGCAACUGGGUAACACACGGAGCUCUCUUUGUGCCCUCAGACACUGAAUUCCCCUGUGGAAUUAGCUUGUUCUCCUAAGGUGAACUUUGGAAAAGGCUGCAGGGCAGAAUUUUUGCUGACCUCAUACAUAAUCCAGAAAAGGCAGUUUUAAAAGCAGGUCUGGUCUUCAGAGUCUGUGCUACAUUAACAAG